rnacentral:ncRNA from 1 species
ACCGAUUUGGUCCUAGUCCUUUCUUUUAUUUUUACUAAAACGAUACAUGCAAGUAAUUAACCUUCCAGUGAGUAAACUUUUCGAUCCACUCUUAAAAGAAAGUGGAACUUACUACCAACAUCAGGCUCAACCUUUUAGCCCUUAACGUUUAGACACCCACACCUGCAGUACCUAACAUUAUACAAUAAGUAAAAACUUGAUAUAGUUAUAGUAAAUAGGUCUGGUUAAUUAUGUGCCAGCCACCGCGGUUAUACAUAAAGCCCAAAUUAAAGAAAUUACGGUAAAAAAGUGGCCCACCCAAAAUAGAAUAGACAUUAACUUUAGCAGUAAUAAGCUCAAACAGAAAACUAAUCACAUUCACUAAUUUAAUUCUAUUACCUUCUUUCUGCCACGAAAACUCAAAAAUAAACUGGGAUUAGAUACCCCACUAUAUGAGCCGUUAAAAAACGAAAUACCCGAGAACUACGAACUAAAGUNNNNNNNNNNNNNNNNNNNNNNNNUUUUUAGACCUUCCUGGAGGAGCUUGCUACGUAACCGAUAAUCCACGACAAACCUUACCAACCUUUGAAACUUUCAACUUGUAUACCAUCGUCGUCAGUCUACUUUGCAAAAAAGUAUACAAAAAGAGUUUUCCUCUCAACGUCAGAUCGAGGUGCAGUUAAUAGGUUGGAGAUUGGUGAGCUACAAUAAAUUCCCAAAAUAAACAUAUAUUUGAACAGUCUAAUGAAACAUGGCUUAAAACAGGAUUCAGCAGUAAUAUUUAUAAGAAAAUAAAUAUGAAGCACAGCUCUAAAAAGCGCACACAUCGCCCGUCACUCUCGUCCAUAGAGGAGAAAAGUCGUAACAUAGUAGGCGUAUUGGAAAAUGCGCCUGGUACUA